CGCUGGCGGCGUGCCUAAUACAUGCAAGUCGAACGGUCUUUCUAUGGAAGCUUGCUUCCACUGAGAAGAUAGUGGCGAACGGGUGAGUAACACGUGGGUAACCUGCCCAUAAGAGGGGGGAUAACAUCCGGAAACGGGUGCUAAUACCGCAUAGUUUUCUUGAUCGCAUGAUCGGGAAAGGAAAGACGGCCUUUGUGCUGUCGCUUAUGGAUGGACCCGCGGCGUAUUAGUUAGUUGGUGAGGUAACGGCUCACCAAGACGAUGAUACGUAGCCGACCUGAGAGGGUGAUCGGCCACAUUGGGACUGAGACACGGCCCAAACUCCUACGGGAGGCAGCAGUAGGGAAUCUUCCGCAAUGGACGAAAGUCUGACGGAGCAACGCCGCGUGAGUGAAGAAAAGGUUUUCGGAUCGUAAAACUCUGUUGUCAGAGAAGAACAAGUUGGAGAGUAACUGCUCCAGCCUUGACGGUAUCUGACCAGAAAGCCACGGCUAACUACGUGCCAGCAGCGGC
rnacentral:rRNA from 1 species